AACAGGGAUUGCCCUAGUAACGGCGAGUGAAGCGGCAAAAGCUCAGAUUUGGAAUCUGGCGUCAUUGUGGCGUCCGAGUUGUAGUCUGAAGAGGGGAAUUCAAGUGUAGCUUUGGCUUAAGUUCCUUGGAACAGGACGUCAUAGAGGGUGAGAACCCCGUUAAUGGCCUUUGUCUUAUGCUUAUGUGAAUCUCCUUCAAUGAGUCGAGUUGUUUGGGAAUGCAGCUCUAAAUGGGUGGUAAAUUCCAUCUAAAGCUAAAUACUGGCAAGAGACCGAUAGCGCACAAGUAGAGUGAUCGAAAGAUGAAAAGAACUCUGAACAGAGAGUUAAAUAGUACGUGAAAUUGUUGAAAGGGAAGCACUUGUAACCAGACACGCUUGCAGCUGAUCAAUUCUGAUUUUUGAGGAUGCACUCAGUUGUUAGCGAGCCAACAUCAGUCAUGGUGACAGGAAAAAGACCAAGGAAAGGUAGCUCCUUUCGGGGAGUGUUAUAGUCCUGGGUGUAAUGCUGCCUACUAUGAUUGAGGACCGCGCUUUGGCGAGGAUGUUGGCAUAAUGGUUUUAAGUGACCCGUCUUGAAACACGGACCAAGGAGUCUAACAUCUAUGCGAGUGUU
rnacentral:rRNA from 1 species